rnacentral:rRNA from 1 species
UACAGAGGUCUCAAGCGUUGUUCGGAUUCAUUGGGCGUAAAGGGUGCGUAGGCGGCGCGGUAAGUCGGAUGUGAAAUCUCGGAGCUUAACUUCGAAACUGCAUUCGAUACUGCGGUGCUUGAGGACUGGAGAGGAGACUGGAAUUCAUGGUGUAGCAGUGAAAUGCGUAGAGAUCAUGAGGAAGACCAGUGGCGAAGGCGGGUCUCUGGACAGUUCCUGACACUGAGACACGAAGGCCAGGGGAGCAAACGGG